ACUUCAAACACGUGCAACUGGCCGCCUUCCUCCAGAACUGCGAGGGAAACUACUGAGGGAACUACUGAGGGAACACGUUCUCCUUUUUCACUAGUACUCUCAUCCAAAGUCCAGCAGUUCCCUGGCUCCUGCACAUGCAAACGUUUGAAUUUCCUGUUGGCCCAGAGUGUUUGCAUUGCAAGUGACAUCUGGCUGACAGGAACUUGGAGAAAUGGGAUGCGAAGUGAAUGCUGCAGUUACCACAGCAUUAUAUUUAUCAAAAGGUUUAAGAUCAUGGUGAAUCUGCACUUGCCUUCCAGUGGAAGUCAGCAUUGUAAAAUAGUCACACACAGACAUCAUGUCGGGCUGAAAUUCUAAGGAGACACUCCCUAUGAUUCAUGGGAGAGGAAGAAGAAAUAAAAGUUAUUCCACUACUGCAUGGAGAGAGUCCUAACUGCAGUUGUGCAGCACUGCUGAUAACAGGCCAAAACAGCAUCCUGUCAGACUCGUCAAAACUUCAGACGGAUUCACUGCAUUGUCUGGACACUGGAGAUCCAGUUCAGGAUUUUUAUAUAGAAGAUAGUACAGGAGGCAGAGAAUCUACAGCACAGGUAAGUCACUCAGCUGAUGAUAUUUACAAAUUUUGACAAAAAGUAUUGCAUUUAAUGUGCAAUAAACAAUUUGCAGUUCAAGAAAGCA
rnacentral:lncRNA from 1 species